GGCACAGCUGCCCGCUCAGUCGCUGCCCAUGGGAAGGCAUUUCCUUUGCCUGUAGUGGCCUUUCUGACUGUGGUAUGGUGUGGCAUGGCUUCUCAGAACUCUCCUCAGCCUCCCUUGUCCCUCAGAAGUACAAGCACUUUCCUGAACUCUUGGUGUCGCGGGCACGUCUUUGUGGUAAUGAGCUUUUCUUUCCUCACCUCAGUUGGCUCCGGCUCCACGAGCUCUGGUGGACUGACUGGAAGCUACAUCCCUUCCUUUCUGAAGAAGGAAGUCGGCUCUGUCAUGCAGAGGGUCCAGCUGGCGCCUCUCGCAGCCCCUUCCCCCGGCUACUCUUCCCUCAAGGCCGUGAGACCUCACCCAGGGAGGCCAUUCUUUCACACCCAGCCUAGGAGCACGCCUGGCUUGAUUCCACGACCUCCAGCUGUGCAGCCUGUGCACGGCAGGAUAGACUGGUCUUCCAAGUACCCAUCUCGGCGGUGACUGUCCCAGCUGACUCCGUUGUACCCCCACAACCACGUGGCGGUGUAAAAGCACCCACACUUACAGCAGUUCUGAACUAACACAUUUCAAUAUUUCUUUUAAAUGUUUUUUUAAACAUUGAUUUGAAUGCAAUACCCUCUUUUUGUAUAAAAUUAUUUUAUUCU
rnacentral:lncRNA from 1 species